AUGCACACUGAGAAGAAUAUAUCCGAGGCACUUUUUGGUACAUUGUUAGGCAUAGAUGGGAAGUCAAAGGAUAAUACUAAGGCUAGAGUCGAUCAGGAGGCACUAUGUGAUAGGCCGUUACGAAACAUGAAAGAACCGAAAGGAAAGCAGAACUGGACGAAGCCAAAGGCAUGGUUCAAUCUUGGAAGGCCAGCUAUGAGGGAAAUUAUCUUGUGGGUGAAAAUGCAGUUGAUGUUCCCCGAUGGGUAUGCAGCGAAUCUAAAGAGGGGAGCGAGUCUUGAUAAAUUGAAGAUAUUUGGUCUCAAGAGUCAUGAUUGCACAUACGGAUUGAGCGGGUAA
rnacentral:rRNA from 1 species